GGCCCACAAGGUUCAGUGAAACUCAAACCAAAGCUCUGGAUGUUGUAGGAAUUCCUUGGAGAAAUUGUGCACUAGUUAUGAAUCUGUGGUGCAUUGGCAGCUGUGUAAGCAAGGAAAAAAUCAGCCCUGCAAGCUUUGAAUCAAGACCAUUUUGAGAGGAAAACUGAUGACAUGGAAGAUACACAAAAAGGUUCACUGAAGCCAAGAGGCCCAGCAGGAACAAGAUGUAUUAGAAAGCUGUUGAGCCUGAGGUACCUGCUCUGCAGACUCCAAGGAGGAUUCACUUUCCACUUGACUACUUUCACCAUCCCUCUUUUUUAAGCUGCAACUGUUGCUGUUGUGCCUUGUAUUUAAUGAGGUGCGUUCUUAUGAGAGGAAGUACACCUGAAAUUCUAAAACAAUGUAAAAAAAAAUUAAAAUUAUGUUUGCACAUCAUACUGUUUGCUGUAUUUGAAUGAGUAAAAUUUUUAUAUAGCACAACUUCCUGCAAUGUGCUCCUAUUCCCUUUCCUGUUUUCCAGAAAAACUCACAGAGAGAGCUCUUGAAAUGAAUUCAAGAGAAAUGUCACAAGCACACUUUUCAUGUUUCUGCUUUGUAGUUCCUGGAUGUUUGUCUGGCUUUUAAAUUUCCCAUGGAAAAAAUAAUACAUCUCUUCUAUAAGAAACAUUUAGUUAUUAAUAAUUAAUUGGAAUUCAG
rnacentral:lncRNA from 1 species